rnacentral:rRNA from 1 species
CGUAGGGUCCAAGCGUUAAUCGGAAUUAUUGGGCGUAAAGCGUGCGCAGGCGGUUGUAUAAGAUAGAUGUGAAAUCCUUGGGCUCAACCUGAGAACUGCAUUUAUGACUGUACGACUAGAGUGUGUCAGAGGGGGUAGAAUUCCACGUGUAGCAGUGAAAUGCGUAGAGAUGUGGAGGAAUACCGAUGGCGAAGGCAGCCCCUGGGAUAACACUGACGCUCAUGCACGAAAGCGUGGGAGCAAACAGGAUU